rnacentral:rRNA from 1 species
UACGUAGGGUGCGGGCGUUAAUCGGAAUUACUGGGCGUAAAGCGUGCGCAGGCGGCUCCUUAAGUCAGAUGUGAAAGCCCCGGGCUUAACCUGGGAACUGCGUUUGAAACUGGGGAGCUAGAGUGUGGAAGAGGGGGGUGGAAUUCCAGGUGUAGCAGUGAAAUGCGUAGAUAUCAAGAGGAACACCUGAGGUGAAGACGGGUUGCUGGGCUGACACUGACGCUGAGGCGCGAAAGCUAGGGUAGCAAACGGG